rnacentral:tRNA from 1 species
AGGGGUUUAGCUCAGUGGUAGAGCUCUUGCCUUGCAAGCAGAUGGCCCUGAGUUCAGUUCUCAGCUCUG